rnacentral:ncRNA from 1 species
UCAAAACUAGGGCAAACCGCACGAAAGUGCGAGACGCAAAGCCAAAGGGUCUAAUUUCCUUACCGGAAUAUGAUAGCCUAGCUGCAAAA